CAGCUGCAGGGUUAUAUUUGCCCACAGGAUUGCAUCUUACUGAGCUGGCUGUACUAUGGUUUGAUGAGGAAAAAUCUUUGGUAUGUUUCUCAAUCAAGGCCUUUAGAGCUCUGUAUCAUAGUGCAAUUGAAGCUGACGAUGGUUGUGUCUUAGAAUAGAGAAGCUUGUGACUAACUAGAAGGCAAAUUAUCAAAAAAGAAAGGAAGGAAAAGAAAGGCAGGAACUCAGGAAGGAAGGAAACAUUGAAUCUCUUCUACUACUAAACUACUAUUGAGUUUUUCUCAGCUGAUUUACUGCAAAACAGAAAGGGCCAAGCAAAUGAUCUUCAUUAAAGACUUCUUCCAUGCAACUGCUCUGCAAAGUGACAGAUGGCACUGGCUUUAUUGUUUACAAAAAGGAAGGAAUGGUUUGACAUCUAUGAGAGCAACACAGUAAAACACAACUGUAUGCACUGGGCAACUGAGGGUGCAGCAGAGGCAGUUAACAGCCAUAGCACUUUGCACAUCUAUUUUUGAGCUUCUUUUCUUGCCUGGGUUGUUUGGAGGACUUCCAGGAAUUUGUCUAAGAAUUUUGAGGUGCCUCCUGCUGCUGGAAAAGUGUGAGUACUAUAGGCUUUCCCACCUAGCAAACUCAGUUUAUAAAAGUAUCUGCUAGUCUUUCCUGGACAAGGUGCUUAGAGCUUUUGUUUGCAACUGACUCCUGGUUAUGGAGUGUUACACACCCAUGGGCUAGAGCUGUCAAAUGACCUACCACACCUACAGUGCACCAAGUAGUAGCUAAUGAACACAUUGUUUUGUGCAGAAAAGUUACGGAAGGGUUCUGGAAAGCUGCUUAAAGCAGCAUGAAUCUGGUUGACAAAUUUGGGCAUGUGCCACAAGACACAUAGCCUGUCAUCAGCUUGAGCAGCUGCAGCAGAGGCCUUGGCUCAGAGCUCUGAAUUGCAGAUGUGGCUAUCCAGGUCUGGGGCUUCAGGCAGCAGCUGGUGCCUCUCCCUGGGCCAGAGCAGGAGAAGAUUGCCUGCAGGCGAUGUGCUGUGGCUCAGAACCUGCCUUGCCAACAGGUGAAGGCAAGCAGAAAGAGUGGUGUCAGAGAAUGUGAAAAAGAUUAACAGGAUCUUCACAAUGAUCCUGCAGAGACAAAGCUCCAAAUCAUCCACUGCACAAGAGAAGCAGAAGCUGGCAUCUUCUCUUUGCCUUUUAU
rnacentral:lncRNA from 1 species